rnacentral:lncRNA from 1 species
UUUAUUAUUUAGAAGUGGCUUCUUUUUUGGAUAAUUUAUGAUACACAGGGAGAAGUGGUUGGGAUCUAGGCAUGUCUGUUAAAGCUGCAGUGUUUUGUAUCUCAGUGCAGAGCGCAAUGAAACAUCCAGGCCAAGCAAAGCCUUCACUAAAAUUCCACCAUCUCUACCUUCUCCCUACGGAGGGUUUCAAAGAAGAUGACGCCAAACCUAAAGUCACUCGGGUAGCAUCUUGCAAACCAGUGCUAUUCAUUCUCUCAAAGGGCUUUGCAACUCAAACUGUUAGUGUGAUAGUGAUGUGGUUAUUUGAUAGAAAUGGGUAUACUACAGCUUUAAUAGCCUUAGUGGAAAGAGAAACUUUUUGUUGUUACAAAACACUUUUUUUUAACGGAAAGGUGUUUUGAGCCCACAAAAGUCUCUUGGGAUUGUCAGACUCUAGCAUUGUUAACCAAAUUAGAGUAGUGAUUGCAAUAUUUAAGUGUAAAUGUUGUUCUAUGAGAAAGGAAGCUUGCUUACCGUUUAAAACACGAUGACUGUUUCUACACACGAACUUGUAUACUACUACACAAGGAAAAGGGGGUUUUGUAAUCACCGUAGAACAGUCUCCUAUUCAUUUUUUUAUAGAAAUGUUAUUCCAAUGGUGCAUUUUUUGUUUAAUAAAUAAAGUUUUGAUAC